rnacentral:rRNA from 1 species
GUAGCUAACGCAUUAGGUACCCCGCCUGGGGAGUACGGCCGCAAGGCUAAAACUCAAAGGAAUUGACGGGGCCCCGCACAAGCGGCGGAGCAUGCGGAUUAAUUCGAUGCAACGCGAAGAACCUUACCUGGGUUUGACAUAUAUCGGAAACGUUCAGAGAUGGGCGCCCCGUAAGGUCGGUAUACAGGUGGUGCAUGGCUGUCGUCAGCUCGUGUCGUGAGAUGUUGGGUUAAGUCCCGCAACGAGCGCAACCCUCGUCCAAUGUUGCCAGCGGGUUAUGCCGGGGACUCAUUGGAGACCGCCGGGGUCAACUCGGAGGAAGGUGGGGAUGACGUCAAGUCAUCAUGCCCCUUAUGUCCAGGGCUUCACGCAUGCUACAAUGGCCGGUACAAAGAGUUGCGAGCCUGUGAGGGUGAGCGAAUCUCAAAAAGCCGGUCUCAGUUCGGAUUGGGGUCUGCAACUCGACCCCAUGAAGUCGGAGUCGCUAGUAAUCGCAGAUCAGCAACGCUGCGGUGAAUACGUUCCCGGGGCUUGUACACACCGCCCGUCAAGUCAUGAAAGUCGGUAACACCCGAAGCCGGUGGCCUAACCCGUUUGGGGGGGAGCUGUCGAAGGUGGGACUGGUAAUUAGGACUAAGUCGUAACAAGGUAACC